UAGGGAAUCUUCGGCAAUGGGGGGAACCCUGACCGAGCAACGCCGCGUGAGUGAAGAAGGUUUCCGGAUCGUAAAGCUCUGUUGUUAAGGAAGAACGAGUGUGAGAAUGGAAAGUUCAUGCUGUGACGGUACUUAACCAGAAAGGGACGGCUAACUACGUGCCAGCAGCCGCGGUAGUACGUAGGUCCCGAGCGUUGUCCGGAUUUAUUGGGGGUAAAGCGCGAGCAGGCGGACUAGCCAGUCAGUCUUAAAAGUUCGGGGCUUAACCCCGUGAUGGGAUUGAAACUACUAGUCUAGAGUAUCGGAGAGGAAAUUGGAAUUCCUAGUGUAUCGGUGAAAUGCGUAGAUAUUAGGAAGAACACCAGUGGCGAAGGCGACUUUCUGGACGAACACUGACGCUGAGGCGCGAAAGCCAGGGGAGCGAACGGG
rnacentral:rRNA from 1 species